GGCACAGGUUAUGGCAUGGGUCGGCUGAGGAUGUAAUGCACAUUUUUGAAAGAUGGGCCAGCUACAUACCUGUCUCAUGCAACUAUAUGGGGCUUCCGUUACCUUACUCCACAAGCUCCACUCUGCAUCUCCUGUUGUCAUAGAUGUCAAGAAAGCUAAACUGUGGCUAUGUAACAAUCUAACUUGAUAGCAAUCGCCAUAGGAAAUCCAUGAAGAUGCUAUCUGACUUUAGUUCAAGCUGCUUUGGUUGUGCCA